GCCCGUAUAGCUCAGUGGUAGAGCGCAUCACUCGUACUCCAUCGUCAUGAUGAGGUCCUCGGUUCGAUCCCGAGUGUGGGCA